rnacentral:rRNA from 1 species
AGCAGCCGCGGUAAUUCCAGCUCCAAUAGCGUAUAUUAAAGUUGUUGCAGUUAAAAAGCUCGUAGUUGAAUUUCGGGAUCAAUAUGUCGGUCGUGCCUUGGUACGUACUGGUAUCAUUGGUCUCUCCUUUCUGACGAACCAUGAUGUCAUUAAUUUGGUGUUAUGGGAAGUUAGGACUGUUACUUUGAAAAAAUUAGAGUGUUUAAAGCAGGCUUUAGCUUGAAUACAUUAGCAUGGAAUAAUGAAAUAGGACGUUCGAACCUAUUUUGUUGGUUUCUAGGAUCAACGUAAUGAUUAAUAGGGAUAGUUGGGGGCAUUAGUAUUCAAUUGUCAGAGGUGAAAUUCUUGGAUUUAUUGAAGACUAACUACUGCGAAAGCAUUUGCCAAGGAUGUUUUCAUUAAUCAAGAACGAAAGUUAGGGGAUCGAAGACGAUCAGAUACCGUCGUAGUCUUAACCAUAAACUAUGCCGACUAGGGAUCGGAUGAUGUUAAUUUAAUGACUCA